UACGUAGGUGGCGAGCGUUGUCCGGAUUUACUGGGCGUAAAGAGCGCGCAGGCGGCUGGUCAAGUCCGAUGUGAAAGCUCCCGGCUUAACUGGGAAAUUGCAUCGGAAACUGAUCGGCUGGAAGGUGGGAGAGGGUAGCGGAAUUCCCGGUGUAGUGGUGAAAUGCGUAGAUAUCGAGAGGAACACCUGCGGCGAAGGCGGGCUGCUGGGCUGACACUGACGCUGAACUGCGAAAGCUAGGGGAGCGAACGGG
rnacentral:rRNA from 1 species